GACAGAGGUCCCGAGCGUUAGGCGGAAUCACUGGGCUUAAAGCGUGUGUAGGCGGAGUGCUAAGUACCUUGUGAAAUCCCACGGCUCAACCGUGGAACUGCUCGGUAUACUGGUUCUCUUGAGCCACCUAAGGGCAACCGGAACAAACGGUGGAGCGGUGAAAUGCGUAGAUAUCGUUUGGAACGCCAAUGGUGAAAACAGGUUGCUGGGGGUGUGCUGACGCUGAGACACGAAAGCCAGGGGAGCAAACGGG
rnacentral:rRNA from 1 species